AUGGAGCCGACCUUGAAAUACCACCCUUUAAUGUUUGAUGUUCUAACGUUGACCCGUAAUCCGGGUUGCGGACAGUGUCUGGUGGGUAGUUUGACUGGGGCGGUCUCCUCCUAAAGAGUAACGGAGGAGCACGAAGGUUGGCUAAUCCUGGUCGGACAUCAGGAGGUUAGUGCAAUGGCAUAAGCCAGCUUGACUGCGAGCGUGACGGCGCGAGCAGGUGCGAAAGCAGGUCAUAGUGAUCCGGUGGUUCUGAAUGGAAGGGCCAUCGCUCAACGGAUAAAAGGUACUCCGGGGAUAACAGGCUGAUACCGCCCAAGAGUUCAUAUCGACGGCGGUGUUUGGCACCUCGAUGUCGGCUCAUCACAUCCUGGGGCUGAAGUAGGUCCCAAGGGUAUGGCUGUUCGCCAUUUAAAGUGGUACGCGAGCUGGGUUUAGAACGUCGUGAGACAGUUCGGUCCCUAUCUGCCGUGGGCGCUGGAGAACUGAGGGGGGCUGCUCCUAGUACGAGAGGACCGGAGUGGACGCAUCACUGGUGUUCGGGUUGUCAUGCCAAUGGCACUGCCCGGUAGCUAAAUGCGGAAGAGAUAAGUGCUGAAAGCAUCUAAGCACGAAAC
rnacentral:rRNA from 1 species